rnacentral:rRNA from 1 species
AUUGAACGCUGGCGGCAGGCCUAACACAUGCAAGUCGAGCGGGUGAUGGGAGCUUGCUCCUUGAUUCAGCGGCGGACGGGUGAGUAAUGCCUAGGAAUCUGCCUGGUAGUGGGGGACAACGGCUCGAAAGGAACGCUAAUACCGCAUACGUCCUACGGGAGAAAGCAGGGGACCUUCGGGCCUUGCGCUAUCAGAUGAGCCUAGGUCGGAUUAGCUUGUUGGUGAGGUAAUGGCUAACCAAGGCGACGAUCCGUAACUGGUCUGAGAGGAUGAUCAGUCACACUGGAACUGAGACACGGUCCAGACUCCUACGGGAGGCAGCAGUGGGGAAUAUUGGACAAUGGGCGAAAGCCUGAUCCAGCCAUGCCGCGUGUGUGAAGAAGGUCUUCGGAUUGUAAAGCACUUUAAGUUGGGAGGAAGGGUUGUAGAUUAAUACUCUGCAAUUUUGACGUUACCGACAGAAUAAGCACCGGCUAACUCUGUGCCAGCAGCCGCAGUAACAC